rnacentral:rRNA from 1 species
CCCUUAGAUGUUCUGGGCGGCCCGCGCACUACAUUGGCACUGUCAGCAAGGGUCUGAAACUAAAACUUUUGGGUAUUCUGAGAACCGGUGUCGUGACUGGGAUUGACCCUUGCAAUUAUUGGUUAUGAACGAGGAAUUCCUUGUAAUCGCGGUUUAUCAGCCCGCGUUGAAUGCGUCCCUGCCCUUUGUACACACCGCCCGUCGCUCCUACCGAUGAAUCGUCCGGUGAAGUUCAUGGAGUAGUGGUUGUUCCAUCCGCUGUCGAAGUGAAAUAAACCUCAUGAUUUAGAGGAAGGAGAANUCGUAACA